AUACGGAGGGUGCAAGCGUUAUGCGGAAUCAUUGGAUUUAAAGGGUCCGUAGGCGGGCUAAUAAGUCAGGGGUGAAAUCCCACAGCUUAACUAUGGAACUGCCCUUGAUACUGUUGGUCUUGAGUUACAGUGAAGUGGUUAGAAUGUGUAGUGUAGCGGUGAAAUGCAUAGAGAUUACACAGAAUACCGAUUGCGAAGGCAGAUCACUAACUGUAUACUGACGCUAACGGACGAAAGCGUGGGGAGUGAACAGGAUUAGAUACCCCAGUAGUCC
rnacentral:rRNA from 1 species